rnacentral:miRNA from 1 species
CUAAGGGACACUGGGAGAAAUGGGGACACUGAGAGACAUAGGGACAUUGGGAGACACUGAGACACUAGGGACCCAGUGUCCCCAUGUCUCCCAGUUCCCCCUAGUCUCCCAGUGUCCCCUAGUCUCCCAGUGUUUGUGUCC